GAAGCAGUGAUGUGGAGCGAAACUCAAAAAAUAAGUCUCAGUUCGGAUUGAAGGCUGAAAUUCGCCUUCAUGAAGCCGGAAUUGCUAGUAAUGGCAGGUCAGCAUACUGCCGUGAAUACGUUCCCGGGCCUUGUACACACCGCCCGUCACACCAUGAGAGUUGGGAAUACCCGAAGCCUGUGAGCUAACUUUUAGAGGCAGCAGUCGAAGGUAGAAUCAAUGAUUGGGGUGAAGUCGUAACAAGGUACC
rnacentral:rRNA from 1 species